rnacentral:rRNA from 1 species
UGAGGAACAUGACUUUCGGCGGGGGAUAGCCGGCCCAACGGCCGGGUAAUACCGCGUACGGCCUUUUGGGGACAUCCCCGAUUGGUGAAAGCAGCAAUGCGCCGAAAGAGUGCCUCGCGGCCUAUCAGCUAGUUGGUGGGGUAAUGGCUCACCAAGGCGACGACGGGUAGCUGGUCUGAGAGGAUGGCCAGCCACAUUGGGACUGAGACACGGCCCAGACUCCUACGGGAGGCAGCAGG